rnacentral:rRNA from 1 species
GACGAACGCUGGCGGCGUGCUUAACACAUGCAAGUCGAACGGAAAGGCCUCUUUCGGGGGGUACUCGAGUGGCGAACGGGUGAGUAACACGUGAGUAACCUGCCCUUGACUUUGGGAUAACUUCAGGAAACUGGGGCUAAUACCGGAUAGGAGCUCCUGCUGCAUGGUGGGGGUUGGAAAGUUUCGGCGGUUGGGGAUGGACUCGCGGCUUAUCAGCUUGUUGGUGGGGUAGUGGCUUACCAAGGCUUUGACGGGUAGCCGGCCUGAGAGGGUGACCGGCCACAUUGGGACUUAGAUACGGCCCAGACUCCUACGGGAGGCAGCAGUGGGGAAUAUUGCACAAUGGGUGGAAGCCUGAUGCAGCAACGCCGUGUGCGGGAUGACGGCCUUCGGGUUGGAAACCGCUUUCGCUCAUGACGAAGCUUUGUGUGACGGUAGUGGGUAAAGAAGCACCGGCUAACUACGUG